UGGUAAGUAGUUUAAACAAAACAAAUGAUUUCGACUCAUUAGAUUAUGACAAUCAUACUAACCAA
rnacentral:tRNA from 2 species